GACGAACGCUGGCGGCGUGCUUAACACAUGCAAGUCGAACGGAGUGGCGAACGGGUGAGUAACACGUGGGUGAUCUGCCUUGCACUUCGGGAUAAGCUUGGGAAACUGGGUCUAAUACCGGAUAGUGCAAGAUGAGCUCGCGGCCUAUCAGCUUGUUGGUGGGGUAAUGGCCUACCAAGGCGUCGACGGGUAGCCGGCAUGAGAGGGUGUACGGCGACAUUGUGACUGAGGUACGGAGCAGACGCCUACGGGGGGCAGCAGUGGCGAAUAUUGCACAAUGGGCGGAAGCCUGAGGCAGCGACGCCGCGGUGGGGAUGAAGGCCUUCGGGUGGUAAACUCCUUGCGACAGGGACGCGGUACCUGUAUAAGAAGCACCGGCUAACUACGUGCCAGCAGCCGCGGUAAUAC
rnacentral:rRNA from 1 species